rnacentral:rRNA from 1 species
UGCCGCCCUGAAGGGCGUAUGGUGGAUGCCUUGGCAGACAGUACCGAUGAAGGACGUUUGAGGAUGCGAUAAGCCUCGGGGAGCCUCCAACAUGGCUUCGAUCCGAGGAUUUCCGAAUGGGGCAACCCGCCGGCCGUCAUGGGCCGGCACGGAACCUUGUUGUUCCGGGGGUACGCAGGGAAGUGAAACAUCUCAGUACCUGCAGGAAGGGAUACUCCGUGAGUAGUGGCGAGCGAAAGCGGAUCAGACCAAACCAUGGGCGCGUGAUACCCGUCGGGGGUUGCGUUCGUGGUGUUGAGGGAGCGUGUGUCCCGGUUCCGACGGACCGGGCGGGAGUCAUAAAACGGCUUGCCAGGGGAACAGGCUUGAAGGCCUGGCCGCAGAGGGUGCCAGCCCCGUACCUGGAAGCUUGCCGUCUUCCGAUCAUGUGUCCCAAGUAGCGCGGGCCUCGUGGAAUCCCGUGUGAAUCGGCCCCGACCGUGGGGUAAGUCUAAGCAUACCUGUCUGACCGAUAGCGUACCAGUACCGUGAGGGAAAGGUGAAAAGCACCCCGGGAGGGGAGUGAAAGAGUUCCUGAAACCGUGCGCCUACAAUCCGUCGGAGCCUCCCUGGUGGGGUGACGGCGUGCCUAUCGAAAAAUGAGUCUGCGAGUCAGUGGUGCGUGGCGAGGCUAACCCGUGGUGGGGGAGCCGUAGCGAAGGCGAGUCUCAAAAGGCGUUUUGAGUCGCGCGCCCUGGACCCGAAGCGGGAUGAUCUAGCCCUGGGCAGGUUGAAGCGCGGGUAAGACCGCGUGGAGGACCGAACCCACCUGGGUUGAAAACCGGGGGGAUGACCUGGGGCUAGGGGUGAAAGGCCAAUCAAAUUCCGUGAUAGCUGGUUCUCUCCGAAAUGCAUUUAGGUGCAGCGUCGGUUGAUUGCAUCGCGGGGGUAGAGCUACUGGAUGCUUGCGGGCCCGUGUCGGGUACCAAUAGCAGCCAAACUCCGAAUACCGUUGAUGUGUAUUCCGGCAGUGAGUCGGCGGGGGAUAAGCUCCGUCGUCGAGAGGGAGACAGCCCAGAUCGUCGUCUAAGGUCCCGAAGCGUGUGCUAAGUGGGAAAGGAUGUGGAGUCGCAUAGACAGCCAGGAGGUUGGCUCAGAAGCAGCCAUCCUUGAAAGAGUGCGUAACAGCUCACUGGUCUAGUGGUUCCGCGCCGACAAUGUAGCGGGGCUCAAGCACACCACCGAAGACGCGGCAGCGGCCUUUGCGGCCGUUGGGUAGGAGAGCGUCCCGCGUGGGGCGAAGCGGCCGGGGAACCGUGCCGUGGACCGCGCGGGAGUGAGAAUGCAGACAUGAGUAGCGAGAGACGGGUGAGGAUCCCGUCCGCUGGAUGACCAAGGGUUCCGGGGCCACGUUCGUCGUCCCCGGGUGAGUCGGGUCCUAAGGCGAGGCCGACAGGCGUAGUCGAAUGGAUGAACGGGUGGAUAUUCCCGUACCGGCGGCGUACCGUAAGAGCCGAACGGAUGAGUACUAACCUCCGGUCGCGUGGCGUCGUUCCCUUCGGGGUUCGGGGUCCGCGGUCGUUGGGAGCGUAGUCCUGGUAGGCUAGCGCACAGGGGUGACACGGAAUGGGAGCCGGCCGCGGAGGUGGUUUUCCGUGGUCAAGCACGCAGCCCGUCCCAUAGGCAAAUCCGUGGGACGCAUAGGGUGAGGUGUGAUGAUGGGCGUCCUUUGGACGCGAUAUCCGGUGGUCCAGGCCGUCGAGAAAAGCCUCGGCGCGAGGGGCGUCGCCGCCCGUACCCCAAACCGACACUGGUGGUCAGGUAGAGAAUACCAAGGCGAUCGAGCGAAUCCUGGUCAAGGAACUCGGCAAAUCACUCCCGUGCCUUCGGUAUAAGGGAGACCCCCGGGCGUGAAGAGGCUUGCCCUCGGAGCGUUGGGGGGUGGCACAGACCAGGGGGUAGCGACUGUUUACCAAAAACACAGGUGCAUGCGAAGGCGCAAGCCGCUGUAUAUGCACUGACGCCUGCCCGGUGCCGGAAGGUUAAGAGGAUCCGUCAGCCCCUUUUGGGGUGAAGCGGUGAAUUCAAGCCCCGGUAAACGGCGGUGGUAACUAUAACCAUCCUAAGGUAGCGAAAUUCCUUGUCGGGUAAGUUCCGACCUGCACGAAUGGCGUAACGACUUCCCCACUGUCUCGACCAGGAGCUCGGCGAAAUUGCAGUACGAGUAAAGAUGCUCGUUAAGCGCAGAAGGACGAAAAGACCCCGGGACCUUUACUAUACCUUGGUAUUGGCGUUAGGCGCGGAU